UCCCUGUGAUCUAGUGGUUAAGAUUCAGCGCUUUCACCGCUGCAGCCCUGGUUCAAGCCCUGGUCUGGGAA
rnacentral:tRNA from 1 species